AUGAAUGAGACUCUUCUUUCAUCUCUGCCCAAAGAGAAGAUGCUACCAGAAGCCUGAAUUCCUUACCGGAUAUUGAACCAUCCUUGCAUCCCAGGGAGCAAUGGUUUCUUUUAAAUAUGGUCUGGAACUAGAUGUGGGUCUAGAAUUAGAAUCCAGUUCUUCCACAUAUAAAGCAAGCUGUCUGAGAGAGAAACUUCCAGUAAUUCAUCUCAUUAAAGAAAUAUGGAAGAUGUAGAAAGACUAAAAGAAGGAAUAAAAAUCACCCAUAAUCCCACCACUGAAGAAAACUACUAUUAAUAUUUGGCUAUUCCUUACACUCUUUCAGAAAGAAUAAAGAAAUCUUUUUCUUACCAGUA